GAAUUGAACGGUCAAACACAAAUGAGCCACGUCUUCGCCCAUAGCAACUGAAACCAGAGCAGAUUUCUCACUCGGAGAACAUUUCAUUACCGGAUUUACAUGUUGACCCACUUUAGAAGAAUUUACAUCUAGUGAUGCUUAAAUAAUGACCGAAUGGAGUAAGACGUCACCAGACCAGAGGCAACAGAACCGAGUACGUCCCUUUUUAAUUUAAAAUGUUUGUGUUCCAGGUCAUCGGCGGCUCAGGUGUCAAACUCUCAAAUACUCUCAGCGUCGCCCUUUUUUAAACUUGGGGGGAACCGUCAGCACAAAGUGUCGAUCGGCCUCCAUCGUCUUUUAAAGCCUUUCUCCUGACACCUUGACCCCCCCCCCUCCCUCCCCUCCCUCCUUCUCCGUCAGUCGCCUCUUGUCCACCUACGUGCCGCUGGAAGCUAAGGAGCUUUAGCAGCUCCGCAGCAGCCAGCCGGUGAGGGAGGAACCGGCUUCCGGUGGCCAGAGGCGGGCGGCUCACUUGCCUGGGAUUAAGUGGGAUCGGGAGAGAUUACAGCCCUCUCUCCCUCCCUCUCUCUCUCUCUCUCUCUCCCCCCUCGUUCCCUGCUGCUCGAUCAAAGUGUUGCGCUCCGUCUUUUUCUAUACAUUUUUCCUGCAAGUCCCGGUGCAAAAACCUGCAGGAGCUGGAGGAUCGAAGCUUGUGGCACCCUUGAGGAUUCAGACAGAAGAAAGGUAAGAUGCUUUUUGAAGGAGGGGAGGACUUGGAGGCAUGAUCCUCUCCUACUUUAACGAGGAACCUCUUGAGGAGCACCUUCUAUUUUAUUUCCAACAGCUGUUGGUUAAACACAUGUCUUAAUGGGGUUGUCGUUGUUUAUUUACAGCCAUGAUUACGGGCAUAGAGGUUUUUACUGGUGACGUUUAUCGCCCAAUCUUGUCAGUGUCCCUGUUCUUGUAAAAUGGAAUUAAUAAUCCUUGGAAUGACAUUGCAGCUGAAUGUAAUGCAAAACAAAUACCAGAUUGGACUUGAUACUAGUCUUUGCAUUGCCAGAGAUUAGGAUCUGCACAUCUCUGUUUUCAUCACAGCUACUCUUUCAAGCUGCUGCA
ensembl:lncRNA